rnacentral:rRNA from 1 species
UACGGAGGAUGCGAGCGUUAUCCGGAUUUAUUGGGUUUAAAGGGUGCGCAGGCGGCACGGCAAGCCGGCGGUCAAAACGCGGGGCUCAACCCCGCCCAGCCGUCGGAACUGCCGGGCUAGAGUGGGCGAGAAGUGCGCGGAAUGCGUGGUGUAGCGGUGAAAUGCAUAGAUAUCACGCAGAACUCCGAUUGCGAAGGCAGCGCACCGGCGCCCUACUGACGCUCAGGCACGAAAGCGUGGGUAUCGAACAGG